CGGAAAGAAAAGUGCAGGUGUGUAAAAUAGUCUUCUAGCAUUAGCAAGCUCAAGGAGCUCCAGCUGCUUUUUAAACCAGUGGCACCUGUCUUGCCACAAGUCUGACAUGUAGCAUCUCAGAAGUUCUUCAGCGAGUGAGAGAUUCAAUAAAGCCUGUAGGUUAUCAGGACCAGAAUUUCUCUCAUGAAUUAUCGGACUUCAAGACAGGAGCAGAUAUCUGAAUGAAAAGCCAUAGGAUGCCAGAGAAGCUCUGUUGGCUCCUGAAAAGAAAGGAAAUUGAAGAGAAGCUGUUGAAGAAAAGUGUCAUGGGGGAUGGAGGAAGGAGCGUCAUCUUCAUCCGACCUGUGAAAGGGAGGGCACUGCCUAAGGAAACCCUGAAGAGCGUAGGCACUUCAGAGAUGGAUGGAUUUAAAUAAACAAAGCAGAAGGAAGACAUCAUGAAUAGAGGAAUGGGGCAAGGAAACUAUUUUGAAAUUGAAAGUAGCCCUCUAUAGUUGAAACACGUCAUGUCCUGGAUUCCAGUUUUGGCAAAGAGAUUACAUCAUCGUUCACCUCGUGCAGAAUUUGAAGGGGUUGUCUUAGUUCAGCCUAUUGAAAAUGAAAAAUUUGGAACAGCAGGAGAGGUUUUGAGGAAGGGAGAAUAAUCACCUACAAAAAUAGAUGCCAGAGAGAUAAUUCUCGUUUCAGUGCAAAGGACAAACAGGGAAGAUUAAAAAAAAAAAAAAAAAUGGAGAAAAUGAGACUGAAGAAUAUAGAUCAAAUUCUCUUCUCCAGAAAAGUAAAAACCUGGAGAUAAAGAAAAUAGUGUGAGACAGACAUUGAAAGAUUACUAGAAACAGUCACUUAUUGAGGUGAUUUCUGACAUGAAGAGAAAGAGCACAAUGUUUUUAUCAAGUACAGAUGAGGAACUUGACAGGUUAAAUAAUUUUUCCAAGGUCAAAUGCCUCCUUUAAAAUAUCACAUCUUCUCUCUCAUUGAGCACUUUUUUUUUCUCUUUUUGAUGUUCAGUAUGGAACCCCUUGCUUCACACAUACUAAGAACUCAGCCACUGAGCUGUAUCUCCAGGCUUGCCUUACGAAUUCUUAUUCCCACACCUGUGGAGUUCUUUUUCCACAGUGUCCACAUCCUUUCUUAGGGCAACGAAGAUCACGUGCACAAGAGUAUCUGAUUAUAUAAAUGUCCCCUUCCCUGCUUCCCGGGAUAUAGUGCUAAUAUUUAAAAUAAGCCGUAGGGAUGUAAUGAAGCUGGUUUUGCUCCACUUCUGGUUUAGAGAAUGUACCACAAAAGGAACAAGCAUACUGGUGAGUUCUGUUCUCAUCUCUACUAUGUCAGGCACAUUUAAUUAGUGGCAAAAAUAGAAAGGCAUAUUUAGCUCCUUAUUCAGCAAGAACUGAAAAGACACCAGAUUAGAGGCACAGCAAGAUACAAAGAUUGACAUUCUGACAAAGCCUUCUCUCUGAGACGAACAUCCGAAAAUGAUGACUCAGGCAAAUUAUCUGCUAAUUGCUGACCAGGUUUUAACUAGGUCAGCUCCAAAUAAGGACAUACAUUGAGCUCGAUAGAAGAAAUGCUUGUUACCUGAUUUGGUUUAGAUAGGAUCGGCAGAAUUGGGGUUAGAUGACAAGAAACAUUUAGGGCUGCACUGUGACGCAAGUUUAAUGACUCAAGUUUUUAAAGAAAGAGGCAUUUAAAAUGAGACAUUUUUCCAAGAAAACUGAACAUUUUUCCCGAUAUGUUUAUUUUGUUUUUUUGUUGUUCCACAACAACUUACCACGUAUUUUGCAGCUUAAAUGUAAUACAGGACAUUAUCUCAUAGUCUCCGGGGUCAGGAUUCUGGACUUCGGUUACCCAAAUCCUCUGUUCUGGCCUUGCCAGGAUGAAAUCAGUCUUGUUGGAGAUCUUCCAGGUUCCUAGCUUAUUGAUAUAAUUCAGCUUUUGUUUUAAUUGUAGGUCUGAGAUUGAGCUCUUGGAGGUUUGAGGACCUGAAUUAUUUCCUGAAUUCCUGAAAGAUGAAAUUCGCCAUUGGUUAUUCACCUGCUCAGCAAUUCGCCAUGUUGGCUGUGCAACAUGGCAGCUUUGCACCCUCCAACUGAUGGAGCAGAUAUAACAAGAAGGGGCACAGGACAGAAGUGACAAUCUGAAGUCAUUUAAUCCCCGAAAGGGAUAUAACACUUAGCGUAUGCAGUUAGAUAAAAGGAAGUAAUUAGCUAGAGCCCAUAGUUACGUGGAGAGACUACAGAGCCUAUCUUAGAGAAUGUCUGCCCUAAGAUGCAUAGCUUCAGUGUUGCUGACACAUACUUUCAGGGCCAGCUACCUGGGGUGAAUGCUUGGCUUUUUCCUUUAAUAACUGUGACGUUGGUGAGUUUCUUUUCUGAUGGUGCAUAUUCACCAUCUGAAACAGUAGUAUCUGUGUUCAUUAAAUGAGAUAAUGAAUGUAAAACACUUACCACAGCACAUCUGACACAAUACCUAUCAUCAUGGUACCUCAGUUCAGGACCUGAAUUCUUUCCAUGAUUCUAGUCACAGAGUGAAUUGGACAAGAACCAAAUGGAAUUUUCCCAUAAAGUCAACAUGAAGCCUAACCCUUGAAUUUGAUUGGUUCUUGUCCAAUUUGGUCUGAGACCAGAAACGUUGAAAGAAUUAAGUUCCUGAAGUGAAGUACCACUGUUCCUGUUAUGAUUGUGGUCAAUAAAUUAAAAUUUAAAGAAAUAACUGUUGGCAUGGUAUUCUUCUUAUGUGCUUAUCUUAUUUUUAUGCUGAUGCUAACAUACAGUAACAUGAUGUUUUUGUUUUACCUUGGUCCGGUUUCAUCCCCACGUCUUUUCAUCAUCAUUAAUGUCUUUAAUACACUUGACCAAAUAUUCAGAGAUGUCAGUUCUUUGCAGCAUUACUCAGUGUUGAAUUUUAUACUUCUAGUUAGUGUGUACCUUUCCUCCUAGGCUUCACGGGGCUUCCUUUGACCAGCAAUUGUACCAGCAGUUUCACGUGAGCACUUGUUUCUUGAUCUGACAGCACCUAGAAUGAUGCUGCGGUCAUACAAAAUACUCAGUAAAAUGACUAAAUGAAUGACUAUGUAAGUGCACUGCUGGGUUAACUGGAAGAAGGAAUUGAUAGAUACAUGGACACAUCAUAUUUUUUAUUGAUAAUUGAGCAGCUAAAGCUUUCUCUGUAUUAUUUUAUCCUGGUUGAAAACUUGUUUUGAUAAAAGAGAACUUGUUUUGAAAGUUCUGAGUUAAUGAGUUGUGUUCAAGUCUCUGCUGAAAGUAUGGCAUAAGAUGAAGUCGGCAUCACAGAGCCACGGGUAGCCAAAAAGCAGAGGGUGAGAUAGAGGUAUAGUCUUUUGGAUCUACGUGUAUCACAUUCGUGAGUGACUUGGGCCAAGCAAGUUACUUCUGCUCACCACAACAUUCAAUUUGGAAUUGGAAACAGGCUGACCUUGUAUGUGUUCCCUGUGGGACAGAAUCCUGACAGUUCUAAUAACUAAUCUAUCAAUCUGAAUCCAGUAAAAAUAUCUUAAAAAUAAAU